CGUCGAAUCACCGAGAUGUGUUGCUCGUUUCUCGUUGUGGUCGAAGGUUAUCCUUCACAGUUUUCUUAUUCUGCACUGUUAGUCCCUUUUAAUAACCGAAGAAAGCAAGUGCAUCCACCACCAUCCAUCAGCCUUAGAGAUGGUGUAUGUGUGCGUAUCAGACUGCUUGGCGGUGACACAGUGACACGCUAAUUGCAGUGGACCAGUGGUGGUGGUUGGGUAGUUGGAAAGGCUCAGGUGUGUAGAUGGAAGAAAAAGAAGGAAGACGAAGGAGAAACAAUGGAGGAG